rnacentral:rRNA from 1 species
GGAUCAGACUUUGAUUCUGGCUCAGGAUGAACGCUAGCUACAGGCUUAACACAUGCAAGUCGAGGGGCAGCGGGAUUGAAGCUUGCUUCAAUUGCCGGCGACCGGCGCACGGGUGAGUAACGCGUAUCCAACCUUCCGUACACUCAGGGAUAGCCUUUCGAAAGAAAGAUUAAUACCUGAUAGUAUCUUAAGCACACAUGUAAUUAAGAUUAAAGAUUUAUCGGUGUACGAUGGGGAUGCGUUCCAUUAGGUAGUGGGCGGGGUAACGGCCCACCUAGCCAACGAUGGAUAGGGGUUCUGAGAGGAAGGUCCCCCACAUUGGAACUGAGACACGGUCCAAACUCCUACGGGAGGCAGCAGUGAGGAAUAUUGGUCAAUGGACGAGAGUCUGAACCAGCCAAGUAGCGUGAAGGAUGAAGGUCCUACGGAUUGUAAACUUCUUUUAUAAGGGAAUAAACCCUCCCACGUGUGGGAGCUUGUAUGUACCUUAUGAAUAAGCAUCGGCUAACUCCGUGCCAGCAGCCGCGGUAAUACGGAGGAUGCGAGCGUUAUCCGGAUUUAUUGGGUUUAAAGGGAGCGCAGACGGGUCGUUAAGUCAGCUGUGAAAGUUUGGGGCUCAACCUUAAAAUUGCAGUUGAUACUGGCGUCCUUGAGUGCGGUUGAGGUGUGCGGAAUUCGUGGUGUAGCGGUGAAAUGCUUAGAUAUCACGAAGAACUCCGAUUGCGAAGGCAGCACACUAAUCCGUAACUGACGUUCAUGCUCGAAAGUGUGGGUAUCAAACAGGAUUAGAUACCCUGGUAGUCCACACGGUAAACGAUGGAUACUCGCUGUUGGCGAUAUACUGUCAGCGGCUUAGCGAAAGCGUUAAGUAUCCCACCUGGGGAGUACGCCGGCAACGGUGCAACUCAAAGGAAUUGACGG